rnacentral:rRNA from 1 species
GGUAAAAAAGCUCGUAGUUGGAUUUCUGUCAAGGACGACCGGUCCAUACCACGUAUGCGUAUCUGGCUCGGCCUCGGCAUCCUCUCGAAAUACGUUUCUGUGCUUCAUUGCAUGGUGCGGAUCUCGGGACUUUUACUUUGAGGAAAUUAGAGUGUUCACGGCAGGCUAUCGCCAGAAUACAUUAGCAUGGAAUAAUACUAUAGGAUCUCGAUUCUAUUUUGUUGGUUUCUAGAAUCAAGAUAAUGAUUAAUAGGGACAAUUGGGGGCAUUCGUAUCAACACGUCAGAGGUGGAAUUCUUGGAUUGUGUUGCGACGAACUACUGCGAAAGCAUUUGCCAAGGAUGUUUUCAUUGAUCAAGAACGAAAGUAAGGGGAUCGAAGACGAUUAGAUACCGUCGUAGUCUUUACCAUAAACUAUGCCAACUAGAGAUGGGACAUCGUUCAUUUACGACUUGUUCCGCACCUUAUGAGAUAUCAAAGUUUUUGGGUUCCGGGGGGAGUAUGGUCGCAAGACUGAAACUUAAAGGAAUUGACGGAAGGGCACCACCAGGAGUGGAGCCUGCGGCUUAAUUUGACUCAACACGGGGAAACUCACCAGGUCCAGACAUAAUAAGGAUUGACAGAUUGAUAGCUCUUUCUUGAUUUUAUGGGUGGUGGUGCAUGGCCGUUCUUAGUUCGUGGAGUGAUUUGUCUGCUUAAUUGCGUUAACG